rnacentral:rRNA from 1 species
GAUGAACGCUAGCUACAGGCUUAACACAUGCAAGUCGCGGGGCCGCACGGGGGUUUCUUUCAUUCCCCGAUGGCGACCGGCGCACGGGUGACUAACGCGUAUCCAACCUGCCCUUCACCACUGGAUACCCCGGCCAAAGUCUGACUACUACCGUUUUUUUUCCAUUCAUGGCUUCCGAUUUGGACGAGAGGUUUGUCUCUCUUAUAUGGGGAUGCGUCCGAUUAGCUGGACGGCGGGGUGACGGCCCACCGUGGCGACGAUCGGUAGGGGUGCUGAGAGGAAGGUCCCACAGACUGGAACUGAGACACGGUCCAGACGCCUACGGGAGGCAGCAGUGAGGAAUAUUGGUCAAGGGGCGUAAGCCUGAACCAGCCAAGUAGCGUGCAGGAUGACGGGCCUAUGGGUUGUAAACUGCUUUUAUGCGGGGAUAAAGUGGCCCACGUGUGGGUUUUUGCAGGUACCGAAUGAAUAAGGACAGGCUAAUUCCGUG